GUCCUCGUAGUAUACAUAAUACCCUGGUCUUGUAAACCAAAGACGGAAACUACUCUCCCUAGGACA
rnacentral:tRNA from 1 species